rnacentral:rRNA from 1 species
UACAGAGGGUGCAAGCGUUAAUCGGAAUUACUGGGCGUAAAGCGUGCGUAGACGGUUGCGUAAGUCAGAUGUGAAAGCCCCGGGCUCAACCUGGGAAUUGCAUUUGAGACUGCGUAGCUAGGGUGCGGAAGAGGGAAGCGGAAUUUCCGGUGUAGCGGUGAAAUGCGUAGAUAUCGGAAGGAACACCAGUGGCGAAAGCGGCUUCCUGGACCAACACUGACACUGAGGAGCGAAAGCCAGGGGAGCAAACGGG